UACGUAGGGUGCAAGCGUUGUCCGGAAUUAUUGGGCGUAAAGAGCUCGUAGGCGGUUUGUCGCGUCUGCUGUAAAAACUCGGGGCUUAACCCCGGGCCUGCAGUGGGUACGGGCAGACUAGAGUGCGGUAGGGGAGACUGGAAUUCCUGGUGUAGCGGUGAAAUGCGCAGAUAUCAGGAGGAACACCGGUGGCGAAGGCGGGUCUCUGGGCCGUAACUGACGCUGAGGAGCGAAAGCGUGGGGAGCGAACAGG
rnacentral:rRNA from 1 species